rnacentral:rRNA from 1 species
UACGAAGGGGGCUAGCGUUGUUCGGAAUUACUGGGCGUAAAGGGCGCGUAGGCGGUGUGUCAAGUCAGGCGUGAAAGCCCCGGGCUCAACCUGGGAACAGCGCUUGAGACUGGCACGCUCGAGUUCGGGAGAGGAUGGUGGAAUUCCCAGUGUAGAGGUGAAAUUCGUAGAUAUUGGGAAGAACACCGGUGGCGAAGGCGGCGACCUGGUCCUUGACUGACGCUGAGGCGCGAAAGCUAGGGGAGCAAACGGG